rnacentral:lncRNA from 1 species
GAGCAGCAGCAGUCUCCCGCGCCGUCGACUCCGCGCCAUGCCCGACAUCCGCGAGCUCCCCCCAGUGCUGCCACUGUGGUUGGCGCGGUGCGCAUGCCCCUACGUGCCCGUUCAAGUAAACGUGCCGUACAACUGUAUCAUAGCUUUCCUCGUCGCUCUACCAUGUGAGUGUCUUGCCUAUCUUUGUUUCCUUCUUCGCGAUCGCCACCCCUUGCCCCGCCACCACUCUUCGCCGGCGCCUGCCCCCCUCCGCGCUGUGCGCUCCGUCUCCGUGUCUCCUCUCGCUUCGCAUCCCAUGACAGAGCGCUGACACAAACGUCCUCACACAGCUGUCUCUUCUAUAAUCGACCAUUGCUCUCGCCGUUCGAUCAUGCAAGACAUCGCCCUGUAUCACCACCCUAUAGCAUGCCGAGCUCCAUGCUCCCCUAUUCGUAUUCGAUCGCGUAUUGACGCAACGCUGCUGCCGCUGUACGAGAAGCUAUCGUAAUGGAGGAAGGAAGGAGAGUCC